rnacentral:rRNA from 2 species
GAUGAACGCUGGCGGCGUGCCUAAUACAUGCAAGUCGAACGAGUUCUGAUUAUUGAAAGGUGCUUGCAUCUUGAUUUAAUUUUGAACGAGUGGCGGACGGGUGAGUAACACGUGGGUAACCUGCCCUUAAGUGGGGGAUAACAUUUGGAAACAGAUGCUAAUACCGCAUAAAUCCAAGAACCGCAUGGUUCUUGGCUGAAAGAUGGCGUAAGCUAUCGCUUUUGGAUGGACCCGCGGCGUAUUAGCUAGUUGGUGAGGUAACGGCUCACCAAGGCAAUGAUACGUAGCCGAACUGAGAGGUUGAUCGGCCACAUUGGGACUGAGACACGGCCCAAACUCCUACGGGAGGCAGCAGUAGGGAAUCUUCCACAAUGGACGCAAGUCUGAUGGAGCAACGCCGCGUGAGUGAAGAAGGCUUUCGGGUCGUAAAACUCUGUUGUUGGAGAAGAAUGGUCGGCAGAGUAACUGUUGUCGGCGUGACGGUAUCCAACCAGAAAGCCACGGCUAACUACGUGCCAGCAGCCGCGGUAAUACGUAGGUGGCAAGCGUUAUCCGGAUUUAUUGGGCGUAAAGCGAGCGCAGGCGGUUUUUUAAGUCUGAUGUGAAAGCCCUCGGCUUAACCGAGGAAGUGCAUCGGAAACUGGAAAACUUGAGUGCAGAAGAGGACAGUGGAACUCCAUGUGUAGCGGUGAAAUGCGUAGAUAUAUGGAAGAACACCAGUGGCGAAGGCGGCUAUCUGGUCUGUAACUGACGCUGAGGCUCGAAAGCAUGGGUAGCGAACAGG